rfam:Chloroflexi bacterium RBG_19FT_COMBO_62_14 rbg_19ft_combo_scaffold_42243, whole genome shotgun sequence.
UCCGGUGGCUCUAGCGGAGGGGAAACGCCUCUUCCCAUUCCGAACAGAGAAGCUAAGCCCUCCAGCGCCGAUGGUACUGCACGGGCAACUGUGUGGGAGAGUAGGUCGUUGCCGGGA